rnacentral:sRNA from 1 species
CGUCAUCCACCUGUUGCGGGCAGAUGAAAUGGAUAUGGCUGUCAAACCCGCCCGCCGUCAGGAUCCGCCCCUCGCCCGCGAUCACCUCGGUGCCCGGACCGAUGACGAUAUCGACGCCCGGCUGGGUGUCCGGGUUGCCCGCCUUGCCGAUGCCCGCGAUGCAGCCGUCGCGCAGCGCCACAUCGGCCUUAUAGAUCCCGGUCGCAUCCACGAUCAGCGCGUUGGUGAUGACCGUGUCCGCCGCGCCUUCGGCGCGCGUCACCUGCGAUUGCCCCAUGCCGUCGCG